UACGUAGGGGCUAGCGUUGUCCGGAAUCAUUGGGCGUAAAGAGCGUGUAGGCGGCUCGGUAAGUCCGCUGUGAAAGUCCAGGGGCUCAACCCUGGAAUGCCAGUGGAAACUGUCGAGCUAGAGUCCGGAAGAGGCGAGUGGAAUUCCUGGUGUAGCGGUGAAAUGCGCAGAUAUCAGGAGGAACACCAAUGGCGAAGGCAGCGCUGGGACGGUACUGACGCUGAGACGCGAAAGCGUGGGGAGCAAACAGG
rnacentral:rRNA from 1 species